UCAUAUCCACUGAACAUGGCAUACCGACUAGCAUGACCAUCUCCAACAUCAACAUGUACUACUAACCAGCAUAAACAUAUGAAAGGUAAUACUAGCAGGUAUAACAUGAUCACAGAGUAUAAGACAACAUAGCACAGAAGUGAACAUGCAAAUCUGAACAUCACCGGAACAACGAUAACCAUCUUUUCAACAAGCAAAUAUUUAUUAAAUAUUCAAGUUGAAAACCAUGGCUACUGCAUGACUAUCAUGCAAGUGGGUAUUGUGGCUUGCCUGGGAAUGAAGAAGGCACCGGGGAGAAGUGCGGUGAAGCCGCGGAAAGAAUCGCCGGAAAACAUUCUCUCUCAGAGGGGGCUGAAUAAGGGCAAGGGCAUAAAGGUCAUUUUCACAGUGUCAAACCAUAGUGAAAGUGUGACCAACAGAACGGGCUCGACGAAACAAAGAAGUGGGCUUUGGAUUCACCUCAACGGAGUUACGGUUAAAAAGAUAUGAGGGUUUUACUGCCACGGACCUAUUUGUAAAAAUUUAUUUUACAAACUGGGCCAAAACAGAAAACUGGAAAGCGUAUUCUAGGGAAUAUGUUUCCACUUAAACGACGUGGCUGCGACCGGUCAACAGGGAUAGAGGCGGGGCCGGCUUCAGGGUCGCCGACAAGUGGGGCCGUGGGGCCCACGACCUAGGUCAACACCCACCUCCCGCUCCUCCUCUUUCUUCCCCGACGCGGGCGCAGAACAGAGGGAGGGGUCACCGGUGCCGGCGCUUGCCCGGUCGACUCCGGCCACCUCCGGUGGAGCACGGACCACCGGAGUGCUCAGGAUAGAGAGGCACAUCCGUUCAGGCAAGGCGCAGCCGUAGGGAAGGGCUAGGCUGAUAGAGAGGCCAGCCGCGGCGGAUGGUGAUCUUCGGGCUUGGCUGGAAUCGUGGCCGGAGGCCACCGGAGAAGGAAGGGGAGCGCUGGGAUGGUUCUAGGGUGGUGGUGGAGACCUCUGGUGGUGCUAUAACGGAGGGAGUGGCUCGCCAUCGCCGGAAUCAUGGAGGAUAGAGACGGCGGCCAUGGCGGCGAUGAGGGGCGUAGAGAGCUCCAGGGGCUCGGGCUAGUGGCUAGGCGGGGCUAGAGGAGAGCGGGGAGGCCAGUGGAGAGCUCGGGCUGCGCGGGGAGGGGCUUAAAUAGCCGCGAGACGAGGAGGCCGCACUGGCGUCACCGGCGACGCGUGUCCGGCGCCGCGGACGCAUGUGCUCAUGCAUGGACUCCGGGCAUACGAUGAGGGAGGAGCGGAGCAAAGCUCUCAUGGGGCAGAGGAGGCCAAGGGGAAGCAGAGGAAGAAGACAGUGACGAAUGGAUCCAGAACGCUACUGUACGCUCGCGUUCAGGCGGCGGCGAGCGUUGGUGAGCUAACUUCCGGAGGGGAGAGGGGUCCAGGAGAACGGCGACGACGAGAGGAAGCCAACACACAAGCUCACGGGCUCUAAGACGACGAGAGGAGAAGGGGGUCCAGCACAAAAAGUAUGCCACAUCGCACAAAGCACGCCAACAGACAUGCCAGCUGCGUGGUCACCACGAGACAUGGCGCAAUAAACGCUCUAUAGCACCCAAAACAGCGUUUAGUGGUAAGUCCUUAGAAAGGUGGUUUCUACUGCGGUGGUAACUAGGUGAAAGAGGCUCUGGUCAAAAAGAAAUAACCCUCUGAAGUUUACUGCAGUAAACUUCAUCAGCUCAAUGAGAUCAACUGGGAAUGGCUAGAGGCCAAACAAGAUGUCUGGGAUGUUUAGGAUAGGAAGGACUACAAUCCUGGGGAGGUUGAGGGUAAAAUGAUCAAGAUUUCCUGCAGUUGCUUCACAACUGCAUACUUGGUCUAGAAAUGAAGAUCAGCAAGAUGCACUCACAUGGAGUUAUGGAAUGGUAUGAAACUUGGCAAAUCCUCAUGAUAUGGACAUAUAAAGAUGCUCUAAAAAGAUCAUGCCAAAUGGACAAGCCAAAAUAGCACUUGCUUCACAAACAUCUCCUCUGGACAGAAACUUGAAAUAAUUAUGGUGGUCAAAUGGCUCAAUGAAAUGAUGAAAAAAUGGGUGGAGAGAUGUUUUAUGGGUAUAAGAAUGAUCUAGUAAUUUAUCAAGCUUUUUAAGCAAUAUACAAUAUACUUGCUUCACAACCUGAAAAUAUUGCCAGAAACAAAGAUUUGCUUCUGUGCUCACAUAGAUGAUAGGAUUGGGCUGCAAAUGGGUGGAAGGGGUUAAUAUGAGCACAUUAAGGAGUGUGGAAAAUCUCAUAUCAUUUGGAUACUCCUAGCUAGUACUUCCUUCACAAAGCUUUCUGUUUGACAGAAACUUUGAAAAUUUACUGAGGAAGAUUGGCUAGGCAAAUAAAUUUGAACUUGUGCAUGGGGAAAUUAUUUGGACAUAUAAACAUGCCCAAAAAGGUUGGGAGGCACUAGGAGAAAACUAAAUGACGCUUCCUUCACAAAGUGCCAUUCAGGGCAGAAUAGAAAAUGAAUUAUUGGAGAAUUAUUUUUUAACAUGGCAAUGAAAUUUUUUGCCAUAUUUGAUCAAGAUAUUACCCAAAAAAUUUAUGAGAAUUAUUUGGGAAUUUUUGGAGUGAUAGAAAUAUAGGUUUCUUCACAACCUAGAGCAAUUGGAGUUAUUCCUUUAAUAGAAAAGGAAUAUUCCCAAUAAAAAGAAUAUUGGGAUUUGGGCUAGGAUGAAAAUGACAGGGUCUAGGGAAAGAUUUGGGAAUGACAAGCCACUCUGGAAGCAUACAAGAGGUCAUCUUCUUCAGUUUCCAGACCACAAAGCCACACAAAAAGAAAACUCAGGCAAAAACCUCGAAAAAACAAAAGAAAAAGAAAGGGCCAAAAAUCAGGCUGUCACAAACCUUACCUCCUUAAAGAAAUCUCGUCCUCGAGAUUUGGUUGCUCAGGGAACAAGUAUGAAUAUUUUGACUUAAGGAAACCGUUUCCAACUCGGGUAUCCUUUUUCCUUUAUUGUUGUUCCCACUAAAUUUUUAUCUGACUGGCCCUGGGGUAGUUUUAUUCGCUGUAUCCUCAUUCUGACAGACCUUACCUGGCUUGCUCAUUCUUAUAUAGGCUCCAAUUUCUUUUUAGAUCUACUGACUAGCUAAGUGUGAUUUGAUUUUCACAACUGAAAUAUAUGUCCGUCUCACAAAUCCAAAAGUGAUUUCCGCUGGGUGUGCCACCCGGCACUGACACCCUUUCAUGUAUUGAUGAUCAGAAUUUUCUGAUGAAAAAUCAAGCCCUGACUCAUUGCAUUGGGUUUCUGAAUCAUGUUAGUCGGUUCCACUGUCGUGAGUAUCGGAUCCGUACCGAAUAUUUGAUUAUCUCCUGUCGUGGCUAGCAUAAAGGGUUUGGACUGUAUGAUAAUAUCUGCAGACUUGACUGACAGUGAUUCUGACGGAAAAAUUUUGUUCGCGACAGGCUACCCAUGAUGAUUCAUAUAAGCGAGGACUCAGGCUUCUAGACUGAUAUUCCUCAUGCCGAUUACUCAUGUUGUAGGCAUAUCCAUGUGGAUCAAUACUGACUUAGACUUUCCAGGGUAUCUGCACCAUGGGGGUCGUAUACAAUUUUCAUACCUGCAUCACUGGUCUUGCUCCUUCAUUAUUGUUUUCUUGGCCUGGAUCCUUGGCUGAAAGAGCUGGGUCAUAUUGCUGCUUCGUAUGACCAUAGCUACUGUCGGUGCAAUUUUUCGGCAAUCGUAGUUUAUCCUCAUUUUUCCGAUAAGGUAACCCAUUAAAUUGCAGGUUUAACACCUCUCAUUUUCUGAUCGUUGGGAAAUGAUCAUCCGAAACCCUUGCAAGAAAUUGGCAAAUAAGUCAGUAGCCACCAGAAGGGUCUUUACAACUCAGAUCUGGGACAUUACUGAAAUAACUCAACCACGGCUCAAGACGGCCGAAAAAUAGCUUAGAGCAUGAGACUGGGUCGAUAAGAAGAAGGUGGCAGCUCCCUAAAAUAGCCAAAAGCAGCUAUAGGGCCACUAUCACAAAAAGAAACUCAACAGCUGUAUGAGACGGCCGAAAAGCAGCUCAGACUCAUGGCAGUCGUUGAAGAGAGAAACAAAAAUCGGCAUCCACCCCGGAUAGCUAGAAAUAGCUCAGAUCACAGGCGUGGUGCCGUCAUUGGAGAAAAAGGGGACAAAGGGCUCAUCAGGAUCAUUUUCCAGGUUCACGGGUACCUGUACUGAGCUCAUUGAUGUCGUCAAUCCUCAUAAUCCUUUGUCACACUGUGGUGUAUACUGGCUUUCCAUCCUCACGUGGUUGUCAGAUCCUCAUCCGAGUGACUUGUAAGAUCUUGAUGGUAUGCUCAUUGCAUAUAUAUGAGGACCUGAUUCCGAGAUAGAUGUGUAUUCUGACUGACCAAAAUGUUGCCGAUCCGAUUCUUGGGAUUCACUGUCAUAUGCUGUCAAUUCACAGUGUACUACCUUGUACCAAUGUCUUACUGAGGAAGAUUAGCUGGCUUUUGCUCAAAACUUUCAUCGGACAACUUGCUGUAGAAGACUGAAUAUCGUGCUUCAGAAGCUUACCCCCUUAAAGACUUUGCUGGGGAAAGACUCAGUACCUUAUGCUGGAAGCUUUUGCGGUUGCGUACUGAAGAAGACAGGGUACCUUGCACGGGGAAUCAUCUACGUAUCGUACUGAGGAAGAUAGAUAAAUCUUGCCUUGGAAGCUUCUUGGGUAUCUUGCGAGGGAAGAAUGGGUUGCUUACACCAGAAGCUUCUUAUUGUGAUAUGCAGACCGAUUUCCACAUAUAUAAUCAUCUGAAUAUUUCUGAUGCUGAUUUCUUGUAUGAAACGGGGUUUUACAAGACUAUUCUCCUUUCUGAGUACAUGCCAUAUUUUUGCUUGCUUCCAGGUACAUCGAGUUCCAAAAUCAUCCUCAACGAAAAAUUAAACUUGUAUCGGAGCCAUACCUUUGAUAAUAUUCUGUCAACCUUGCACACAAUUUAUCUUCUUGCUGAUUUAAUCAUUUUGUUGUGAUGAGUGCACGCUAAUGCAAACUUGAUACUAGCGGUCCAUCCAGGAUUUCUUUUGCAUCCGGACAAGAUAUUCGCAAUUUCACUGCAGUCUACUGGUAAUUCCAUUCUGUUUAGCUGAGUUUCCAAAUAUAUGCAUUUCUUGCUGACUCUUCGGGUCCGGUGUCGGCUGACGAGCAACUUUAAUAGGGGAAAAAUUUGUAACACCGAAGGCCCAAAGAAAAGAACAACAGAAACGACUAAAACAAAAGCACACAAGCAUACUACUAAUAUAAUUAAUCAAGCAAUCAUCACAUAUUACUGCUACUCACACAAUAAUAUGCAUGCACACCUAAGCACACAAAUCUCGCGAAAACUCCGGUAUUACGAUCUAGCAUGUUGUGACGAUGUGCACGAGGACGAAUAAAUGUGUGGAAGAAUUGGUGUAAACAAUGCUACACCAAGUGCUAACUUAGCCAGGUGGCAACCUGAACUAGCUCGGAGGCGAGGACGCACUCGGUAAUCAUGUAGUGGGACACGAAGGUCGCAACCACAUUAUUAUCAAGCGGAUGGAAAAAGAUCCGUACUCAUCCGAGAAAUAGGAUAGCGGGGAAAAACUGAGGCUGCUGACGUUGCCCUUUCUUGAUUACUAAGAUCAUUAAGCGUUGCCAACACGACAAAAUAAAAUAACGAUCCUGGAUAGACGCAUGUCCAUCACCGAAACGAUAGACGGGACUGAAGGAAAGACAUCGGUGCGAUACCUGAGCACCAUUUUUGCAAACAGUGUCGGGAUCACUUGGCAUCACUCUGCUGGGACAGAAAUGACACCAAACACCAAAAGAAAAAGGGAACUGGAGAAAUGCAAAGGUUGAGCUAUAGUGGAUCCGAACCGAUGCCAGCUACACUUACCAGAUAAACCGUUAUCACGAAUACUAACGCUAUAUGCAUGCUAUGUGACAAACAAAUGCAGCAAUCAAGUGCAAUCAUCAAGCCAGACUCUAUACUACCAAUUUCUAACGUUCGCGCGGUCUAGGGCAUCCUACAACCAGACCUCCUUUGAUACCAAGCCUGUGGCACCCCGGCUCAGAGAAAACAGGAACGCCCCGUAUUCCAGCCUAGAGAUCGAGGAGAAGUAUUCUGGAAUAUGGCACUGCUUAGCAUAGAACAAACCAGCUUUCUAUUAUUACAUGAAUAUGAAUACAAGGUCUCCGAUAUUACAAUGAAAAACAUCGGUACGGCGACACUACGCCAUCCUCAGUUGCUCUAUGCAAGAAGCAGAAACAACUCGAAGCAGCGGAAUAACUCUAGCAGUGGAACAACGACGACGGUGGUGAACUCCACUCCGCAGGGACUCUGGCUCGAACGCUUAUACUAGCUCGCACGAACGGAAACCACGACAAGCAAGCAAUCAAAUCCGGCAUGACCUGCGAACUGGCAUGACACGCCAGGUCAGUACAUUGAAUGUACUUGCAAGCUCACAAAAACCAGAAGCAUUCAAGACAAACAACAGCAUGGCAAUUAUAGGUUAAACAGGAGUUAACGUGAGAUCAUCAGAAUAACAUGAUAUCACCAGAAUAACAUGGCAUGACCAACAUAAACAUGAUACAGCUAUCACAACAUGAACAUAUUAAUCCGACAAUACUAACAUGCAACAUAAUGACACCAUAUGCACCACUUAUUCUGCUCGGUUACCUCGUAACCAACACAUGCAUCACUUACCAACCUCGGACAUCACAUGAUCAUCUCAGGAUCAAAUCAAGCUUGGCAUAAACAAUACCGUAGCGAACAUUAAAUAACCACAAGGAGCUUGAUCUUUACCCACGACUCUCGUACAACAUCACGAAUAUACAACAGCUCGGUAUCCUCUAUACCACCAUGAUCCUUACGGCGAUCACAACCACGACUAACACUUAAUCUCAAACCGUGAUCCUUACGGCGAUCACAACCCAACCAAUACAUGGCCCGUGAUCCUUAUGGCGAUCACCACCCGACCAACACUUGGCCAACUUAUCUCACUAUUAUUAAGCACAUUAUUCUUAUUACUGUUGACUCAUGGUGUGACCUUCUCUCGACCUGGGCCCUUAUCCGUGGGCGCGGCUAUCGAUAGAUUAAUAUACACUCUGCAGAGGUUAGUACACUGUACCCACACUACGGAACCCAUGGCCUCUCCCUCCCAUUCGGGUGUACCAACGGUGUUCCGACAAAACUAAUCUACUUCCAUGACACUCCCCCGGCCAUUCCGACUCACUCCUCACUAAGCUAAGUCAUGGGUGGCCCCGUGACUACCUCCAGACACAACGACCACCAUCGUGGCCCAACACAUAAACGAUCCCACACGGGGAUCCGCUGGCUAUAAUAACUACGGGCACACAAGGUUAUGCUUCGCCUACCUGAUCAGGGUAGCACGCGCCCAUAACCUUCCACCGUUGGAGGCACCGGCGAGAGGCACAACAAUAGACCCAGUUAGGACCGUCCCAUACCGGUAAGCGUGGUUGCACUGGUCAGCAUCGAUUCAGCGGCACCAUGACUCAGCCAACAGUUGUUCAAGUUCAAUUUAAUCCGGUUAACUUGGAUGCAAAUAUGCUGAGUCAUGAUAAAAUGCAUGAACAUGAUAUCAACAUCAUCAUGAGAGUAUCACAUAACUUUCCACCAUAACAACAAUAACUCAUAUCCACUGAACAUGGCAUACUGACUAGCAUGACCAUCUCCAACAUCAACAUGUACUACUAACCAGCAUAAACAUAUGAAAGGUAAUACUAGCAGGUAUAACAUGAUCACAGAGUAUAAGACAACAUAGCACAAAAGUGAACAUGCAAAUCUGAACAUCACCGGAACAACGAUAACCAUCUUUUCAACAAGCAAAUAUUUAUUAAAUAUUCAAGUUGAAAACCAUGGCUACUGCAUGACUAUCAUGCAAGUGGGUAUUGUGGCUUGCCUGGGAAUGAAGAAGGCACCGGGGAGAAGUGCGGUGAAGCCGCGGAAA
rnacentral:lncRNA from 1 species